rnacentral:rRNA from 1 species
AGAGUGAACGCUGGCGGCAGGCCUAACACAUGCAAGUCGAACGGCAGCACAAGGGAGCUUGCUCCCUGGGUGGCGAGUGGCGGACGGGUGAGGAAUACGUCGGAAUCUGCCUAUUUGUGGGGGAUAACGUAGGGAAACUUACGCUAAUACCGCAUACGACCCCGUGCCGAGAGGCGCGGGGUGAAAGCGGAGGACCUUCGGGCUUCGCGCAGAUAGAUGAGCCGACGUCGGAUUAGCUU